rnacentral:rRNA from 1 species
AGUGAACGCUGGCGGUAGGCCUAACACAUGCAAGUCGAACGGCAGCACCGUAAGAGCUUGCUCUUACGGGUGGCGAGUGGCGGACGGGUGAGGAAUACAUCGGAAUCUACUUUUUCGUGGGGGAUAACGUAGGGAAACUUACGCUAAUACCGCAUACGACCUACGGGUGAAAGCAGGGGAUCUUCUGACCUUGCGCGAUUGAAUGAGCCGAUGUCGGAUUAGCUAGUUGGCGGGGUAAAGGCCCACCAAGGCGACGAUCCGUAGCUGGUCUGAGAGGAUGAUCAGCCACACUGGAACGGAGACACGGUCCAGACGCCUACGGGAGGCAGCAGUGGGGAAUAUUGGACAAUGGGGGCAAGCCUGAUCCAGCCAUACCGCGUGGGUGAAGAAGGCCUUCGGGUUGUAAAGACGUUUUGUUGGGAAAGAAAAGCAGCAGGUUAAUACGCAGCUGUUCUGACGGUACCCAAAGAAUAAGCACCGGCUAACUUCGUG